ACGGGUGAGUAACGCGUAUCGAACCUGCCUCAUACUCGGGGAUAGCCUUGCGAAAGUAAGAUUAAUACCCGGCGGUCUCGGAUGGCCGCAUGACAGUCCGAGUGAAGAUUUAUCGGUAUGAGAUGGCGAUGCGUCCCAUUAGCUUGUUGGUGAGGUAACGGCUCACCAAGGCAUCGAUGGGUAGGGGUUCUGAGAGGAAGGUCCCCCACAUUGGAACUGAGACACGGUCCAAACUCC
rnacentral:rRNA from 1 species